rnacentral:lncRNA from 1 species
GCAGAAAGCGCUGCUGAGAUGCCCUCUCGGAUUUCAUGCUUUGAGCAUUUGUCUUUUGAGCACCCGCUUUAUGAAGGAAGUGUCGCCUGAGCUGAAUCCUGGACUCUUGGGAAUUGGGGGUCGGGGCCGGGUACUUUCUGGAGCUGCUAGUAUCCUGAUGUGAUUUUAAGAGAGGACUCGUAGGACUCAGUCCUUUUCCCUGGAACCAAACCUUAACAACUAAAUUUUACAUAUUCCAGACAAUUGGGACAAACAUUGUCUGGCCAACUGUUCCUAAGGUUUCAGAAAUUCAGCAGGUCCUUUAUCAAUGCUCUCUGCUGCCCCCGUGGGGAUGACUUUUUCCAAGUCAUUGGUUAUCCUGCAGGCCACGACAAAAACAGCCUUGUCUCACCAACCACACCAGUUAAUUAGAAAAUUAGUCAGUUCUUCUUUGGUUGAUUGUUCAAUCAAAUAAAAA